AAGUUUUGGCUCCAAAUUAAUAGACCUCCAUGGACUUCUCAAAGAGUUGCGACAGGUUUUCCUGCGUCUGCGCCCUGGGUGCUAGCUUAGUGAUCCUUUCCUGGGGCAGGGUUCCCUCCACCAAGGCGGGUAUAUCGCUGCUGGAGAAUCCCAGCUCUCGGAGGCCAUUUUCUAUGCCCGCGCGUUGCAUAAAACCGCGUACAGUGUCCGCCAAAAGACGACCGGCGUCUGCUUUUUCGACACCUCGCACUUCUGCGCCAGCAACUGGGCAGCCUCCAAAUGCCGAUCCGGACAAGCUGGAGCAGUGAACUCAAAGACCGCCGGAGCACUGAUCACCACGGAUAGGCCGUGUGGAAUAAGAGCGUGAUCCGCGGAGUAGCCCUUUGGCUUGUAAUCCCUCACAUUUCCAGAAAUAGGAUAGGAAAGGCCAUGACACAGGUGCACUCCGGCAUUACCAAAUCCCACGCCAGCCAUUGUGGAAGCUAGGUGCAUCUGGGAUCGGGCUUCCAGGUUAUCGGGCUGCUUUGAACUACAAGAAGACCCGAAAAUGUGCGACUACCAGAUGGAGUACUCCUUUAUUUUUGAAGACAGCUCCUGCGAGGGCGAUGCUCGAUGGCAUCCUACGACAAUGGAUUCGAGUCCAUGUGGCAUCAAGUGCGCGAGGAGUUGCAAAGGGAGCGGGAGAUGAAUGAGCUCUGCCAGGUUUUCCAGCAAAACUUGAGCCUGAGUCCGCCGGUCAUCGCGGAUAGAUGGAGAUUCUGACUGGACCUCCCAAAAGCCAACUUAUUGUGAUAUUUGUAAAUUAUAGUUUUAGCAGUUCGUUUGCCACAUGAGUGGAACAUCGUGAAUGCACUUUUGAUAAGUGCUCGGUUAUUUUAUAUUGUAACUACCAGCCUUCAGAGGCGAUCGUAUGCAUAGUUUCUUGAAGUCAAUUUGUCCGUGUAUUCAAAUGUUUGCUUUCGUGAAAACUCGCAUUGUUUUGUCACUCUACCAAGUAAUCAAUUUGUACCAAUCAAUCGCAUAUGGUUGUCCUAGAUCUAAAAAUGGCAAUAAUUUGCACCUAAUGUAUUCAAGAACAAGGAGGGAAGCUCGAAAUUUCUCAAAUACUUACCCCAAAAAUAGAUAGAAAUAUAUUUUCGAUUCGCAAUCGUUCG
rnacentral:misc_RNA from 1 species